ensembl:snRNA U1 U1 spliceosomal RNA
AUACUUACUUGGCAGGGGAGAUACCACGAUCACGAAGGUGGUUUUCCCAGGGUGAGCACUCCAGAUGUGCUGACCCCUACUAUUUCUCCAAAUUUGGGAAACUCGACUACAUAAUUUGUGGUAGUGGGGGACUGUGUUUGAGCUUUCUCCUG